UUGAAGAGUUUGAUCAUGGCUCAGAUUGAACGCUGGCGGCAGGCCUAACACAUGCAAGUCGAGCGGUAGCACAGAGAGCUUGCUCUCGGGUGACGAGCGGCGGACGGGUGAGUAAUGUCUGGGAAACUGCCUGAUGGAGGGGGAUAACUACUGGAAACGGUAGCUAAUACCGCAUAACGUCGCAAGACCAAAGUGGGGGACCUUCGGGCCUCAUGCCAUCAGAUGUGCCCAGAUGGGAUUAGCUAGUAGGUGGGGUAACGGCUCACCUAGGCGACGAUCCCUAGCUGGUCUGAGAGGAUGACCAGCCACACUGGAACUGAGACACGGUCCAGACUCCUACGGGAGGCAGCAGUGGGGAAUAUUGCACAAUGGGCGCAAGCCUGAUGCAGCCAUGCCGCGUGUGUGAAGAAGGCCUUCGGGUUGUAAAGCACUUUCAGCGGGGAGGAAGGCGGUGAGGUUAAUAACCUCAUCGAUUGACGUUACCCGCAGAAGAAGCACCGGCUAACUCCGUGCCAGCAGCCGCGGUAAUACGGAGGGUGCAAGCGUUAAUCGGAAUUACUGGGCGUAAAGCGCACGCAGGCGGUCUGUCAAGUCGGAUGUGAAAUCCCCGGGCUCAACCUGGGAACUGCAUUCGAAACUGGCAGGCUAGAGUCUUGUAGAGGGGGGUAGAAUUCCAGGUGUAGCGGUGAAAUGCGUAGAGAUCUGGAGGAAUACCGGUGGCGAAGGCGGCCCCCUGGACAAAGACUGACGCUCAGGUGCGAAAGCGUGGGGAGCAAACAGGAUUAGAUACCCUGGUAGUCCACGCCGUAAACGAUGUCGAUUUGGAGGUUGUGCCCUUGAGGCGUGGCUUCCGGAGCUAACGCGUUAAAUCGACCGCCUGGGGAGUACGGCCGCAAGGUUAAAACUCAAAUGAAUUGACGGGGGCCCGCACAAGCGGUGGAGCAUGUGGUUUAAUUCGAUGCAACGCGAAGAACCUUACCUGGUCUUGACAUCCACAGAACUUUCCAGAGAUGGAUUGGUGCCUUCGGGAACUGUGAGACAGGUGCUGCAUGGCUGUCGUCAGCUCGUGUUGUGAAAUGUUGGGUUAAGUCCCGCAACGAGCGCAACCCUUAUCCUUUGUUGCCAGCGGUCCGGCCGGGAACUCAAAGGAGACUGCCAGUGAUAAACUGGAGGAAGGUGGGGAUGACGUCAAGUCAUCAUGGCCCUUACGACCGGGCUACACGUGCUACAAUGGCAUAUACAAAGAGAAGCGACCUCGCGAGAGCAAGCGGACCUCAUAAAGUAUGUCGUAGUCCGGAUUGAGUCUGCAACUCGACUCCAUGAAGUCGGAAUCGCUAGUAAUCGUAGAUCAGAAUGCUACGGUGAAUACGUUCCCGGGCCUUGUACACCGCCCGUCACACCAUGGGAGUGGGUUGCAAAAGAAGUAGGUAGCUUAACCUUCGGGAGGGCGCUUACCACUUUGUGAUUCAUGACUGGGGUGAAGUCGUAACAAGGUAACCGUAGGGGAACCUGCGGUUGGAUCACCUCCUU
rnacentral:rRNA from 1 species